rnacentral:rRNA from 1 species
ACACAGGGAGGUAGUGACAAGAAAUAACAAUACAGGGCAAUUGUCUUGUAAUUGGAAUGAUGGUGACCUAAACCCUCACCAGAGUAACAAUUGGAGGGCAAGUCUGGUGCCAGCAGCCGCGGUAAUUCCAGCUCCAAUAGCGUAUAUUAAACUUGUUGCAGUUAAAAAGCUCGUAGUUGAAUUUUUGCGUGGUGUUAAUAUUGACUAAUGUCGAGAUUGCACUUCGCUUUUGGGAUUUAUCCCUUUUUACUUUGAGAAAAUUAGAGUGUUUCAAGCAGACUUUUGUCUUGAAUACUUCAGCAUGGAAUAAUAGAGUAGGACUUUGGUUCUAUUUUGUUGGUUUGUGAACCUUAGUAAUGGUUAAUAGGAACGGUUGGGGGCAUUCGUAUUUAACUGUCAGAGGUGAAAUUCUUA